GAUGAAGAACGCAGUGAAAUGCGAUACGUAAUGUGAAUUGCAAAUUCAGUGAAUCAUCGAGUCUUUGAACGCACAUUGCGCCCCCUGGUAUUCCGGGGGGCAUGCCUGUCCGAGCGUCUUUGCUGCCCUCAAGCACGGCUUGUGUGUUGGGCCCCGUCCUCCGAUCCCGGGGGACGGGCCCGAAAGGCAGCGGCGGCACCGCGUCCGGUCCUCGAGCGUAUGGGGCUUUGUCACCCGCUCUGUAGGCCCGGCCGGCGCUUGCCGAUCAACCCAAAUUUUUAUCCAGGUUGACCUCGGAUCAGGUAGGGAUACCCGCUGAACUUAAGCAUAUCAAUAAGCGGAGGA
rnacentral:misc_RNA from 1 species